AUCACAUGGAAGGAUGAGAAUUUAUGCUGCUCCAAGGAAUACUGUACCUGUUGUUGUUUCUCCUCCUUCUGUUUCACCUGUACAUAACCAGCCUCCAAUUCAAAGGAAGAUCAUUGACAUCAAUAGUGGGAAUGAUUCACAGGAUUCAGAUGAAGACCUGGUAAAGACUCCAGUGAGAAAGGGCUACCAAUCAGCUGAAGAGAAGAUAUAAGCAGAGUUACAAGAGAUGCAAAAACGUGAAGAAGAAUUGAGGUUGCUGAGAGCAAAACUAUUUGCUCAGUCACAGCCAAAUCUUUUGAGCAUUGGUAGUAUUGUGGAAGAAGAAAUUAAUCAUAUCAAUGGUAAUGGAGGGAAACAGACUUUGCAGAGUGCACAGUCUAUUCCAAACCUCUUAGAUUCUGAUGAUUCAUUGGAUGUUUCACAGGAUCCGGCUUCACAAAAGUUUCAGAAAAAUUCCCCAAGAAAAAGAAGUGCACUGAUUGCUGAGUGGGAGAGUAGGAUCCAAAAAAAUUCAGAGCAUUGAUCAUGACCUCUGAACCACCACCAAUGAAAAUGUCACAUUCCAGAAUGUGUGUGGAUACAACCAAGAAACAAUACUGCCUUUGCAAUUUUACUAGACUGCUGUGUUCCCAGUAUUGUGAAGAAAUUUGUUUUUCUUAUGUAGAGUUUCUUAAUAUUAUUGUGCAAUUAUUGUUGAAGAUUUCUGACAGGACCAGAAAUAAUAAGUAUUAUUAGGGAGGUAAUACACAAUACAUUCCAGCCACAUAGGAAACAAUGUCUAAGAUAUUUUCUUAAUGGGUUUCUUUGUAAUUGUAUAAGAACUGUCAUUUUACUCUGUGUGAUGAAUUGGUUUGAAGCUGAAUAUUCUGUUAAAAUCCUUAAACUUAAUUUCAAUGCACAAAUACUCAUACCAUUUGUUCUAAUUUGGCUACUGGGAUUUCAUAAUGGCUUCCAGUCACUUUUGGUUACCAUUGGCAUGAUGCAGAAGUUGAAGUAAAAAUUUCAAUGGUAUGAGCAGUGUUGUAUCAUUCUGUGUUGAAAGCAAUCAAAACAAUUUGAUUUUCCUUGUAUUGUGUCUUGCCUAUAUGCUAAAUUUGAUGAUUGCAUUUGAUGGAAAUUCAAAUGAAAAUCUAAAGUGAUGAGUGUUAAUAAAUGUUCCAUUUAGUGUGUUCUUUUCUUGAACUUCAGUGUAACACACUCCUGAAGAAAUAUUUUCCCUUUAUUGUUCUACACACAAGGAGCUUUUGUCCUUCCUUCUCAUUAAUUUGAAUGUGCUUAAAAAUUAGAAUAUUGCUGUGUGUCAUAUGUAAUUGCAAUAGAUUAAGGGUAUACUCCUUCAUAGUAUU